AAGCCUCUAGAUAGAAAAUAGGUGCCCGUACCGCAAACCGACACAGGUAGUCAAGAUGAGAAUUCUAAGGUGAGCGAGCGAACUCUCGUUAAGGAACUCGGCAAAAUGACCCCGUAACUUCGGGAGAAGGGGUGCUCUUUAGGGUUAACGCCCAGAAGAGCCGCAGUGAAUAGGCCCAAGCGACUGUUUAUCAAAAACACAGGUCUCUGCUAAACCGUAAGGUGAUGUAUAGGGGCUGACGCCUGCCCGGUGCUGGAAGGUUAAGAGGAGUGGUUAGCUUCUGCGAAGCUACGAAUCGAAGCCCCAGUAAACGGCGGCCGUAACUAUAACGGUCCUAAGGUAGCGAAAUUCCUUGUCGGGUAAGUUCCGACCCGCACGAAAGGCGUAACGAUUUGGGCACUGUCUCAACGAGAGACUCGGUGAAAUCAUAGUACCUGUGAAGAUGCAGGUUACCCGCGACAGGACGGAAAGACCCCGUGGAGCUUUACUGUAGCCUGAUAUUGAAAUUCGGCACAGCUUGUACAGGAUAGGUAGGAGCCUUUGAAACGUGAGCGCUAGCUUACGUGGAGGCGCUGGUGGGAUACUACCCUA
rnacentral:rRNA from 1 species